CUUUUCCCGAAUCAUCCAUAUGGUUUUGAUAGUGGUGGCGAUCCUAAAGUGAUUCCCAAACUCAGUUUUGAGGAGUUCAAGGAAAAAGUGGUAAUUAGGGACUUGUGGAGCUUUGCCAGUGGCCUAGAAGUACAGAGACGAUAAAUUUGUUAAAGUGGUUAAGAUAAUUUUCUGAGUUGCUUUUGGCCCAUAUGGUUUCUGCAUUAGUUGAUGGCUGUAGUUUCAGUGAAUCACUGAGAAAUGGGCAUGCUACGAUGUUGGAUCACUGGGCUUUGUCCUUGGGAAUGUUUUGUACGGGAGUUGCUAACUUUACAUAUUUGAUGGAUUUUGGUGGCCGAUGGUAUGUCAUCUUAUGGUAUAUGGAAUUAUUGUCCUGUUUAUUUGUUUGGUUGAUCGUUUUUGUCUGCAUUGAUGGACGUGAUUUGCCAGCCUCUUAUGCGUAGCUUACAGCUGAAACCUGUUUUCCUUUGAGUGCAUUCAAUGAAUUUGAUUAUUUGAAUGCUUUACCCCUUUGGUGGAGAACUGGUUAAAUAUUAACCUUUCACAUAAAGUGAGAAAUAUUGAUCUUCCUCAGCUAAAGUAGGUUCUAC